GGGCCGGACCGUGACUGGCGCUGAGGUGGAGCACCACCGUGGAGCGGUUCGCACACUCGAUGCCGUGCGCCUGGGCGAUUCCU
rnacentral:ncRNA from 2 species